rnacentral:tRNA from 2 species
GCAGUCGUGGCCGAGUGGUUAAGGCAAUGGACUGGACUUUCCGCACAGGUUCGAAUCCUGUCGACUGCG